GAUGAACGCUGGCGGCGUGCCUAAUACAUGCAAGUCGAGCGAAGAGACGAGGCGUUUGCUCCUCUGACGUUAGCGGCGGACGGGUGCGUCACACGUGGAUAACCUACCUCUAAGAAUGGGAUAAUUUCGGGAAACCGGAGCUAAUAGCGGAAAAUAUAUCGAAACGCAUGGUUCACUAGUGAAAGUAGGUUUUUCUGGCACUUACAGAUUGAUCAGCGUCGCAUUAGCUAGUUGGUAAGGUAACGGCUUACCAAGGCAACGAUGGUUAGCCGGCCCGAGAGGGAGGUCGCUCACACUGGAACUGAGAAACGGCCCAGACUCCGACGGUAGGCAGCAGUAGGGAAUCUUCCGCAAUGGACGAAAGCGUGACGGAGCAACGCCGCGUGAGUGAUGAUGGUCUUCGGAUCGUAAAGCGCUGUUAUUAGUGAAGAACAAAUGUUUAAGUAACUAUGCACGUCUUGACGGUACCGAAUCAGAAAGCCACGGCUAACUACGUG
rnacentral:rRNA from 1 species